rnacentral:tRNA from 1 species
UCCUUAAUAGCUCAGUUGGUAAAGAAUCUGCCUGCUGUGCAGGAGACCUGGGUUCAAUCCCUGGGUCAGGAA